rnacentral:lncRNA from 7 species
AUUCUUUCAGGCCAGGCAAAAGAGAGGAGAGACGUGGGAGAUGAAUGCAGAAUGCACAACAUAGAGAAUCGAUUUGUAACUCCUGAAUCUGACUGAUGAAGGGGAUUAUAUACAGAAUGCCACUCCCAGCUGCACCCCAAAAUGGUUUUUGAAUGCACUUUGCAAGAGGCAGCCCUACUUACCAGCAAGGUCUGAUAGAGGUUGGCUUUGCCUGACUUUACCUGCACGGCCAUCCAGAAAAACUCUUGAUGGCAGCUAAUGUGUUUCCCUCUGCUGUUGGGUGUCCUUUCUUUGGGUGCAAGUGUCCUGUUAACCAAGUAAACAUUAGCUGAAUUGGCUGAAAUUAUUUAUUUACUGCGGAAAUGCAGGAAGAUUUUUAGGUUCACCAAACCAAUCAGAAUCUCUUUUAACAUAAUGUCAGUUUAUGGGAGAUAUAAAUUAAAAACUCUCAGCUUCUUUUAUGAACAGAUUAAAUACUUUUAUGCAACUAUGAGCUGUUCUUCUGAAGCCACUUACAUUUAUAAACUGUCCAUAAAUUUCUGGAAGGUUUACAACACUGGGACACAACAAGAAGCCACCAGCAGUUUUCUCAGCAGCAAUUGCUAUUUUUGAGACUAGCAUGAGACCUGUUUGGAAAGAUGCUUUAUUCCUUUCUGUAGUUUGAGAUUCUUAUUCUUGAUCCAGACAUCGCCUAAAAGCUAUGUAAGAUGAAAUACUGGAUCGUAUCCUCCUGAUGUGGAACAGGAACUCCUCUGGACAUGGCACUGACAUGAGCUGUGCUCAGAUGAAGAGGUAGCCCUGGUGAUUUCAUGGGCCUCUUCCAUCCACAGCUUUCUGUCCUGCCUGGGCCUCAAUAUUUAUUGUGUAAUCACCAGCAUCUCAAAAGGAGCAGCUCGACUGACCCAGCAGAUGAGAGGAUUCCUCUGAAGUACUUUUUGUCCAUGUUGUAAGGAGCUAGGAAUGGUUUUGGUAGUUCAAAAGCUUAAUGCUAUCUCCUCUGCCCAAGAGCAUACUGAGAGAAGUGCAGCAGCCCUGAGACUGUUGGUGCAUCUAAAACAUCUGACAUUUGGCCCAGGAGCUUCAGUGGAGUAUCACAUAGAUUCUCUGCAGCCACAGCAAUGCCUGUUGUGUGCAGUGUUUGAAGAGGACUUCCCCAGGCAAGCUGACGCUGAUAAUGACUGCACACUAACAUUUUGGAGUGAAAUAUGGAGAAUUAUGGAGAGUCAUGCGAGGUGGAUGCUGCACUUGUUAUUUAUCUCACAUGCUCUGUAGAUGUCCACAUUUGCAGUGGACAUUGCACAGCUUUUGAGAAAAAACUAGGAAGACUUGAAACUUCCUAUGGACAUUACCUAAGUUUCUGGAUCCUCUUCAAAAUUUAGAAAACACAGAGGUCUGGGGACUCAGGACAGCACCCAGACCAGUUUCUAGGAGUACUUCACAUGAUCAGUACAACAGAUACGGAGCAAUUUCAGAAGGCAAAAGCUGCCAGUGCACAGGAAGAAGCUGGGACACCAGCUGCAGGCAGUCUUAGUUUUGGCUGUAGUGACCCUAUGGCAGGAGCAAAUGUUUAAACAGAGAUCUUGGUAUCAUUUCUAGAAAAACACAAUUCCAUUUGGAAGCCAGUAGAAGGAUCUCAAAAUGUGCAGGCAGAAUAAACUUUGAGAUGGUCACCAUAAAUGUUCAAAUACAUUUUUUUCUGCAUUAGAUCUUUGCUUUUGCAAUGAAUAAAAGCGCUAUCCUUUUCACAUCUACACCUUCUGUUUUAACUCCCC